UUAAAUUGCUGUGGUAUUUUGACUAUACACCGGUUUUGUAUAGAUUUUAUUGAAUGCUAAGAGAAUGGACUCUCAGAGAAAAACUUUUUUUAAAUUAAAAAUUGAAAUUUUUUUAAUUUGUGCAGAAACAAUUAUUAAUAUUAAGGACAAGAAGACCCUAUGAAUUUAUUAAAUUUCAUUCAAUAUGUAAUUACUAUUGAAGAAAUUUUGGCUGGGGCGGCUAAAAAAUAUUUUAAACUUUUUAAAAAUAAAAUGAUCCAUUAUUAAUGAUUAUAUGUUAAAUACUCUAGGGAUAACAGCGUUAUAUUUUUUGAUAGACCAUAUUGACAAAAAAGUUUGCGACCUCGAUGUUGGAUUAGGAUACUUUUUUAAUGCAGAUAUUAAAAAAAGAAGUUUGUUCAACUUUCAAUUUCCUACAUGAUCUGAGUUCAGACCGG
rnacentral:rRNA from 1 species